rnacentral:rRNA from 1 species
GACCUGGCGGCAGGCCUAACCAUGCAAGUCGAGCGGAUGAAGGGAGCUUGCUCUCUGAUUCAGCGGCGGACGGGUGAGUAAUGCCUAGGAAUCUGCCUGGUAGUGGGGGACAACGUUUCGAAAGGAACGCUAAUACCGCAUACGUCCUACGGGAGAAAGCAGGGGACCUUCGGGCCUUGCGCUAUCAGAUGAGCCUAGGUCGGAUUAGCUAGUUGGUGAGGUAAUGGCUCACCAAGGCGACGAUCCGUAACUGGUCUGAGAGGAUGAUCAGUCACACUGGAACUGAGACACGGUCCAGACUCCUACGGGAGGCAGCAGUGGGGAAUAUUGGACAAUGGGCGAAAGCCUGAUCCAGCCAUGCCGCGUGUGUGAAGAAGGUCUUCGGAUUGUAAAGCACUUUAAGUUGGGAGGAAGGGCAGUAAGUUAAUACCUUGCUGUUUUGACGUUACCGACAGAAUAAGCACCGGCUAACUUCGUGCCAGCAGCCGCGGUAAUACGAAGGGUGCAAGCGUUAAUCGGAAUUACUGGGCGUAAAGCGCGCGUAGGUGGUUUGUUAAGUUGGAUGUGAAAGCCCCGGGCUCAACCUGGGAACUGCAUCCAAAACUGGCAAGCUAGAGUAUGGCA